rnacentral:tRNA from 1 species
GGGGUCUUAUUUUAAUUGUGAAAAUAUACGCUUUGCAUGUGUAAGAUACGGGGCUCUA